CCUCGACCAGGCUAUGCACGACGGGUAACCUCGACCAGGCUAUACACGACAGGUAACAUCAACCAGGCUAUACACGACAGGUAACCUCGACCAGGCUAUACAGGGCAGGUAACCUCGACCAGGCUAUACACGACAGGUAACCUCAACCAGG